rnacentral:rRNA from 1 species
GUGCCAGCAGCCGCGGUAAUACGUAGGAAGCGAGCGUUAUCCGGAUUUACUGGGCGUAAAGCGCGCGCAGGCGGCUUUGCAAGUCGUGCGUGAAAGCUCCCGGCUCAACCGGGAGAGGUCGUGCGAUACUGCAAGGCUUGAGGUCAAGAGAGGAGAGCGGAAUUCCCGGUGUAGCGGUGAAAUGCGUAGAUAUCGGGAGGAAUACCAGUGGCGAAGGCGGCUCUCUGGCUUGCACCUGACGCUGAGGCGC